CGAAUGAACAGGGUUGUGUACCUGUGUGAACUGUCACUGUGACUCUAGGCUGUAGGCUCUGCAGAUUCCUCAGCCCUGUCGCCUCACAGACACGGGAUCUGCAGCAGGUAAAAGAGAGAAGCCAGAUUCAUGGAGGCAUGAAGGAUCCCAGCAAGAAAACACAGACUUGAUCUUGAGAUGAGAUUUUUGAAGUUGGCUGCGGCCUCAAGGCAGGCUCUGAGAAGACUCGAUAAAGAGUUCUCAGGAAUAGGCAUCCCUCCUGGAUAUUUCCCCCUUGGAAGCGCCGAGGAGCCAGUUAUAUGUUUGUAACCACAGCAUUUCUAAAGCUGCAGCCCCAGGAACCUGCUAUGAAUUAGAAACAGAUUCCACCCUAGACAUCAGUGACCUUGGCCUCUCGUAUUGGGAAGGUCAACACUGUUCCAGUUUCCCUCCUACUCCCAUCUGGUUGUGCUCGGUGAAGUAGUGCUACACUUCUGUUAAAAAAAAAAAAAAAAAAGA
rnacentral:lncRNA from 1 species